AUAAUAGGACACAAUCUGACUUUUGUUUACAUUAAAAGACACAUUGUCUCCUUUGCACACUUUCUCUAGACAGCUGUCUUUUCUAUGACAUAAAUAACCUUGCUUUUUGUGUAAGGAGGAGUGUGUUUCUUUUAAGAAGGCUACCGUAAAGUGAAGAAGUAGAAACUAAGUUUGUCUUUAGUUACACAAUAAAUGAUAAAGGUUAAAAGAAAAAGGUAACUGUAUGGGAAAAAGUGAAUUGUUUAAGGACGUUAGAUCUAUUUAUAUGCAUAAGAUCUAAGGCUGAGAAUAUAGUUUAAAUAUUUGGAGAUGUGUUUGGUAAUGGGUGGAGUUCGUGGUGGACAAAAAGAAGAUGGUCGGAUUGGGGUUCUCAGGUGUAUUGUGGAUGGGACUCUCGUGGUUUGUGUGAUUGUUGUGGUGGUCAGAUGUGUUGUGGAUGGGACUCUUGUGGUUAGGGGGAGUGUUGUUGUGGUCGGGAGUGUUGUCGUCAAGGCUCUGGUGGCCAGUUUGUGAAUGGAUGCCGAUGUUGGCUUUAGUCUGGUGACAAUGCUAGUAUGAUCUUGUAGGCUUUAGUCUGGAUGGAGGUAGUGUUGUACAGCAUAUUAGUUAAUGAUAUGGGAGUGGCUUCCAAGUGAUUCUUCUUCCUCACAUACUCAGUUCGUGGAAUUAAAGUACAUGAAUAGACAUAAGCUGAAAGGCACAUUGAGAACAAAACAAAAGGUGUCUAUUAGGUGUAUCAUGUGUGGCGACAUGAGACGGGUUGUUGUGGUUGGGUGAGUUGUGGUCGGGUAAGUCAUGGUUAGGCGUCAGCUGUAUCCAUAUCCACCACCAUAGCAUCCACCAUCACGACAUCCAUAACCACCUCCUCCUCCUCACGUCUUCUACCUCCGUAUCUACAUCCGCCACCACGACAUCUACCAUCGCGGCAUCCACCACCACAAUCAGACAAUAAACUAACUUUUCAUAUAUGAAUCAGUUGCGAAGAGUCUCACGGGAAGACGGUGGUCUAUGGCGUCCUCUGCAGAAUCUGAAAAAAGGAAAAAUCGUUAAUGGUGGCUGUGGGUGGAAGAUGAAGGAACAACGGCGGCGGAGACAGAGUACGAAACGGAACUCACCUUCCAUGGCGGGUUUUUCUCAAUCAACGGUGGCUGGCUGUGGUUAAUGACGAAAUCAACUAUCGCCGGAGAGGAUCUGAUUUUUAGAAACUUGAUUACGGUUUGGCGAAGGUUUGAGUUUCUAGAUCUACAAGAAAUCGGGGGAGAGAUAAAACUAGGGUUUGUCUCUUGAAAUCUACAAAAUGAAAAAGAAAAAAAAAGAUAGACUCUUUCAAAAUUCAAGUAAAAAAUAUCUGAAAAUAUAUUAUUUGUUUUAUUUUUACUAGUUAGGAAAACCAAUUGUUCUGGUUAGAGAAUUCAUGAAACCCACUUUCACUAAGAGGUGAGGGUUAAGCUAGACAUUUCACUAAGAGAAAGUGUCCACUAAGACCAAAGUGUCUUAAAGUGUAAUUCAUAAGAUGAAUUGUGUCUGUGGGCGUAAAUAUUCUCUCCCGAGAGACUUACAUAAUAGGACACAAUCUGACUUUUGUUUACAUUAAAAGACACAUUGUCUCCUUUGCACACUUUCUCUAGACAGCUGUCUUUUCUAUGACAUAAAUAACCUUGCUUUUUGUGUAAGGAGGAGUGUGUUUCUUUUAAGAAGGCUACCGUAAAGUGAAGAAGUAGAAACUAAGUUUGUCUUUAGUUACACAAUAAAUGAUAAAGGUUAAAAGAAAAAGGUAACUGUAUGGGAAAAAGUGAAUUGUUUAAGGACGUUAGAUCUAUUUAUAUGCAUAAGAUCUAAGGCUGAGAAUAUAGUUUAAAUAUUUGGAGAUGUGUUUGGUAAUGGGUGGAGUUCGUGGUGGACAAAAAGAAGAUGGUCGGAUUGGGGUUCUCAGGUGUAUUGUGGAUGGGACUCUCGUGGUUUGUGUGAUUGUUGUGGUGGUCAGAUGUGUUGUGGAUGGGACUCUUGUGGUUAGGGGGAGUGUUGUUGUGGUCGGGAGUGUUGUCGUCAAGGCUCUGGUGGCCAGUUUGUGAAUGGAUGCCGAUGUUGGCUUUAGUCUGGUGACAAUGCUAGUGUGAUCUUGUAGGCUUUAGUCUGGAUGGAGGUAGUGUUGUACAGCAUAUUAGUUAAUGAUAUGGGAGUGGCUUCCAAGUGAUUCUUCUUCCUCACAUACUCAGUUCGUGGAAUUAAAGUACAUGAAUAGACAUAAGCUGAAAGGCACAUUGAGAACAAAACAAAAGGUGUCUAUUAGGUGUAUCAUGUGUGGCGACAUGAGACGGGUUAUUGUGGUUGGGUGAGUUGUGGUCGGGUAAGUCAUGGUUAGGCGUCAGCUGUAUCCAUAUCCACCACCAUAGCAUCCACCAUCACGACAUCCAUAACCACCUCCUCCUCCUCACGUCUUCUACCUCCGUAUCUACAUCCGCCACCACGACAUCUACCAUCGCGGCAUCCACCACCACAAUCAGACAAUAAACUAACUUUUCAUAUAUGAAUCAGUUGCGAAGAGUCUCA
rnacentral:lncRNA from 1 species